ACAAAAGAAAGAAAGCAUAGUUAAGGACAAAAGAAAAGCUACUUUAUAACCCCACACUUUUCAAGCUUAUUUAUUCCACAGCUAGCCUUACCUAUGAGGUUUGAAACUAAUCAACUAUUCUCAAGCUUUGGAAUAUUACAUACUCUCCCGUUAAAUCCUAACGUCCUCGUCAGGCUCAAUUACAAUAACAUUUAUAGAUUAUAUACAUCUAUCAGAUGAUGUGAGAUUUCGAAGAUGACUCAUGCAGGUUCAAAAAGUGGCUUCCACAAAAUCCGUAGUAUAAUAAUUUUUUCGUAUAAUACUUAGCUGUCAUACAUUCGGUUGGCAUUUAAUUCUAAUAUCAAUAUCAAAUAUAACAAUCUAACUUACUAGUAAUAAUAACUCGUUAGAUUCGAAUCACAAACUGAAAAUACUUAAUUCUUAUUAUUACUAGCUAUCGGAGUCCAUAUUCUUUUAUAUACCCAAUUACAAUUA
rnacentral:lncRNA from 1 species